UUCAUUUGUUAUCAAUGACUUGGUCUAGUUCACCAGCUUUAAAAAAUCGUGUCUACGUGCAAUUUAUGUAUAGUUGACCGGGAAAUUAAAGCAGCGAUCACUUGGACUAUUCCACAGCACCCCUCUCACAUUGGUACAUCCCCCCAGGUAUUGUCUUCUACAGUAGAGCGGGACAUUUGAUUUACUCUCAGCGGAAUUGACCGGAGAAGGCAUCAGUUCAUGCACUGCACUGGCCUGCACCACGAUUAGUAUAAGGCACAUUUCACGAAGCAGAACGCAGUCUUCAGAGAUAUCCACGUGAACGCUGUGAUACGUCUGACCUUCAGUCCGAAGAAGAAACCCAGACCAGUCUUAAAAGAAAGCACAAACCAAAUCCCCUGUACACAUAUACGGACUCAGAGGAUGAGCAGCCUACAAAAAAACGGUUUCCCCAGGCCCCUCGAGUGAAAAUACCAGCCCUCAUCACUCCGCAGUCUGCCCCCCAGCCCACUGAUAGCAACCAUCAUAAUGCCCCACCCAGCUUCCGGCACCUUUCGCCACUCCGGCACAAACCGACACAGCUUUGCGAUCUCCCCAGCAUGCAGGGUCUGAUGUCUUCCCUAUAGAUGAUUCCAGAGACUCUGUGAGGCCACUAUUGCAAGGUGAGACGCUUUGCGUUGAUUGGUGCUGCUGGACCACACUGGAGGUGCGAGUCCGCCGUGUAAUGGUUUAUGCCAUUACAAAGGAGCUGGCCUCUGUACUUAACUGGGCAGGGGAAAAAAACCAAGGACCAGACAAAGCAAAAAAGGGCAUUUAAAGAGACAGCGCUGUGCAGAUGCAUAUUUGGUAAGUUUUAACAUUUAUUGUAGUUUUAUGAGCCUAAAGUGAACAAUAAAGGGAUCAAUUGAUGUGCUGGGUGCA